rfam:PVC group bacterium (ex Bugula neritina AB1) isolate AB1-3 AB834_contig000056, whole genome shotgun sequence.
GCUCUUGUUGUGGAAUGGUAAACACGGUAAUCUCAAAAUUUAUUUUAAAAAUUGUUGGUUCGAAUCCAACCUGGAGUA